CUUGCUGGGAGCAGGGACUAUGCCUUUUCCUCCAAUUGUGGAAGGCAGUGUAGAGCAAUAGAACGAACACUGGAGUUGGAGUCAGUCAAUCUGGUGUAGGGAAAAAAAUGACUCUAGAAUCAGAGGAUCCUAGUUCAAAUCCUGUCACUUCCACUUACUCAUUGUGUGACACUGAGACCACAUCUAGAACUGGCAUACAGUACGUGCUUGAUAAAGAACUUCCCAUUCACUGUUUCUAAGGAGAGCAGAAAAGGGUUUCUAGAUCUCUGCCUCAUAGUCAUGACUCACCUUUAGGUCCCCGGAGAUGUUGGCACCUGCGAGAAUGCCAGUGGCUGAUGGGAAGAAGAUUGAGAACAUUCCGAAGAAGCUUCCGUCUACACCCCUCCAGUCUGGCACUAAAUUCUGGGCAAAAAUGUCCCCUGGAAAAAUCCAUGCCAGGUCACCACACUAUUCCCAGAAGCCACAGCUUACCUGGAGCAGAUCCCGUACAGUCUCAGCAAAGCCCACAGUAUGCAUGGCCACAGCAACAGCAUUGGCAAAGGCAAAGAUGAGGCCAAUGGAGCCACCUAGCUCUGGACCCAGGCUCCUUGAGAUGAGGAAGUAGGUGCCACCUAACAGAGAGACCCAAUCCCCGACACCCCCCCCCCACUCCAGGUGAGAUGCCAAAGGGUUGAGAGUAGUGGGGAAGGAGAAACAAGAGCAUAGAAAAAGAAAAUACUAAGAAUGCCAGACAGUGCUGAGAGCCCUUUACUUAGAGCCAAAAGUGCCUCAGAGAGUAUUUAGUCCAGCCCUCUCAUUUCAUAGCUAGGGGAACCAUAACAUAGCAGGGGGGAGUGAUUUGGCUUAGGUGGCACGGAGAGUUAUUAAGAGUCAGCUCUAGGACUUGGCUCUGACUCCCAUAUUAAUCCUGUCUAUUGCACCUCACUUCGUGCAAUCACCUAGACAAUCUAGCUAAAAAUAGCUAUUAAGCGAUAGCAGCCUAAUAGAGUAGAAAGAGUAUUGGAUUUGAUGCUUAUUAGCUGUGUCAUUUAACCUCUUGGAUAGAAUAUUUUCUGUACCUACCUUAGAAGUAAGUGUUCUCUAAGUAUUAAAGUGAUACAUAAAUAGGCCUUCCUUCUACAACUCAUCUCCUAUUUAUAUUGUAUAUAGUUUUGUAGAUUCAUGUUGUCUUCCCCCAAAGGAACAAAAGCUCCUGGAGGGCAAGGAUUUUGCAUGCCAAGUGCCUAACACACGGAAGGUGCAUAAUAAAGGCAUGUUGACUGGUUGGCUGUCUUAACCCAUGGAGGGUAAGCUUCUCUAGAGCAGGAACCAAUUGAUUUAUUUCUUUGUAAUCCUAGCACCUAGCCCUCUGCCUGGCACAUAUCAAAAGUUUCAUAAGUUCCUGCUUAUUGACGGGUUGGAAAAGGGGCACAAGAUGAAGGAUCAAGAGACCCAGGUUCUUUCUGGGGGUGUGGAAGUGGUAGCCUGACCUUCCUAAGGUUCAAUUGUUGAAGUUGUCUCCAUUGGCUAAACAUACUCACUAGUGGCAGGAGGAGAAAGUGUAGGCACAUUAGGGACAUGAAGAAAAUCCAUCUGGCAUUCCAUAUUAUAUAUACAGAGACAGUCCAUAAUGGAGAUAGCUGAGAGCUGAUGAAUUAGAAUUAGGGAAUUUGAGAAAUUCAAUCAGUUCCCAGGAUGUCUCCCUUGGUGCUCUGGUUUCUUUCCCUCUAGACAGUGAAGAGGAAUUUGGAGGUGCCAGAAGGUAACAAGAGAUUUCAAAACUGGAUGACCACUUCAGGGAACCAACAGAUUUGGGGGAUCCAGAGGAAAAGGAAGAAAAGAAGUGACAGCAGUCUAACAAGGCAACAAACCUGACUUGACUUUGCCAUUGGUAGAGAUUGCGGAGAUAGAGAGGCCAGUGAUGGUGGUCACUGUCACCGAGAGGAGGAUGAUGACCCACGUCAAAACUGUGGAGGAAGUGUUAGGGUGUCAAGGGGGACACUUUCCCUGCCAGGGAAGGAAUCUAUACUACUUCCUCCUACUUGUAAAGAACUGUAUAAUCGCAAA